rnacentral:lncRNA from 10 species
UUGACCAGUUCUGGGGCAGGGGGCACGCUCUAAUUACUGAUUGUGGAGUUUGGUAUCUAUAGCAACGGGCAGAAUUGACAACAGGAAGCUUCACCCUCUGGGGCACCAUCCGAAGUUUAUAAAAUCAACUUGAGGCCAAGGCUAUAGUUAAUCAGGAGGGCUUUCAGAGCACGAGUGCUCCGAGUCCACACUUAAGAGGCAAAGAAAUUAUUUAAUAAGACAAUCAGGGGCUCGAGAAGGCAGAGUUUAUUUAGCUUGGCUUUGCAGUGCCUCUUGUAGUAAUUUAUCCUAAUGGUACCAAUUCGCCCAUGAUUUGAUACAGCAGGAGACCCAGGGUAUCGGUUUAAUCAAACCUCCAUCGAUGCUGCCUGUUUCUUAACUAUUGUUGCUGUAUAUCAAUCAGUUUCUCUUGAUUCACUAAUCGGAUGGCACGGGGAUAUGAAUUGUCCUGGGAUUCAAGAAAUCAGGUUGACAUAAUUCUUUAUAAUGUGCCUGCUUUUAAAUGGCAUUAUUUCACCCCACUCACAUUAUUUCAUGUUCCUACAGCUGACAGGUAAAGGGUCCAGAUUGCAAUUGGCUGUGGGUGAGAAAGAAAUAGAUUCACUCCCCAGCUGCCCUCAUUUCCACUCCCGAAAACCUGGGGAGUUACGAAUGUAUCUGCAUUAUUUUUAUACAGCAGCUGGUACUGACUGCGACUAUGGAGAAGAUAUCAUGAGCGAGUUUUCACAAAUGCUGUACUCAUGUAAUUAGCAAUGCACCUCAGUAU